ensembl:snRNA U6 U6 spliceosomal RNA
GUAGUUUUGGCAGCCCAUGUCCUAAAAUUGGAAUGAUACAGAGAAGAUGAACAGGGCCCCUGCACAAAGAUAACAGACAAAUUCAUGCAUUCCAUAUUUAA